rnacentral:rRNA from 1 species
CCUACGGGGGGCUGCAGUGGGGAAUAUUGCACAAUGGGCGCAAGCCUGAUGCAGCCAUGCCGCGUGUGUGAAGAAGGCCUUCGGGUUGUAAAGCACUUUCAGCGGGGAGGAAGGCGGUGAGGUUAAUAACCUCAUCGAUUGACGUUACCCGCAGAAGAAGCACCGGCUAACUCCGUGCCAGCAGCCGCGGUAAUACGGAGGGUGCAAGCGUUAAUCGGAAUUAUUGGGCGUAAAGCGCACGCAGGCGGUCUGUCAAGUCGGAUGUGAAAUCCCCGGGCUCAACCUGGGAACUGCAUUCGAAACUGGCAGGCUAGAGUCUUGUAGAGGGGGGUAGGAUUCCAGGUGUAGCGGUGAAAUGCGUAGAGAUCUGGAGGAAUACCGGUGGCGAAGGCGGCCCCCUGGACAAAGACUGACGCUCAGGUGCGAAAGCGUGGGGAGCAAACAGGAUUAGAUACCCGAGUAGUC